UCCGGUGGCUAUAGAGAGGGGGAAACGCCUUGCUCCAUUUCGAACCAAGAAGCUAAGACCCUCAUCGCCGAUAAUACUGCACCUUACUGGUGUGGGAAUGUAGGUCGCUGCCGGUU
rnacentral:rRNA from 1 species